CACGAGUUUGAUCCUGGCUCAGAUUGAACGCUGGCGGCAUGCCUAACACAUGCAAGUCGAACGAGACCUUCGGGUCUAGUGGCGCACGGUGCGUAACACGUGGAAUUUGCCUCGGGGUAUGGAAUAACUCAGGGAAACUUGAGCUAAUACCAUAUAAUGUCUUCGGACCAAAGAUUUAUCGCCCUGAGAUAAGCCCGCGUAGGAUUAGCUAGUUGGUGGGGUAAAGGCUCACCAAGGCGACAAUCCUUAGCUGGUCUGAGAGGAUGAUCAGCCACACUGGGACUGAGACACGGCCCAGACUCCUACGGGAGGCAGCAGUGGGGAAUAUUGGACAAUGGGCGAAAGCCUGAUCCAGCAAUGCCGCGUGAGUGAUGAAGGCCUUAGGGUUGUAAAGCUCUUUUACCCGAGAUGAUAAUGACAGUAUCGGGAGAAUAAGCUCCGGCUAACUCCGUG
rnacentral:rRNA from 1 species